rnacentral:rRNA from 1 species
CAGCAGUGGGGAAUUUUGGACAAUGGGGGAAACCCUGAUCCAGCCAUUCCGCGUGAGUGAAGAAGGCCUUCGGGUUGUAAAGCUCUUUCAGCAGGAGCGAAACGGUCGACUUUAAUAAAGUCGGCUAAUGACGGUACCUUCAGAAGAAGCACCGGCUAACUACGUGCCAGCAGCCGCGGUAAUACGUAGGGUGCGAGCGUUUAUUGGAAUUAUUGGGCGUAAAGCGUGCGCAGGCGGGGACAUAAGACAGAUGUGAAAUCCCCGGGCUCAACCUGGGAAAUGCGUUUGUGACUGUGUUGCUAGAGUGUAGCAGAGGGGGGUGGAAUUCCACGUGUAGCAGUGAAAUGCGUAGAGAUGUGGAGGAACACGCGAUGGCGAAGGCAGCCCCCUGGGUUAACACUGACGCUCAUGCACGAAAGCGUGGGGAGCAAACAGGAUUAGAUACCCUGGUAGUCCACGCCCUAAACGAUGCCAACUAGGUGUUGGGGAAGGAGACUUCCUUAGUACCGUAGCUAACGC